CUCAAAUCUCUUCAACGUUUGAGAAUUACACUUUGUCCUGUACUCCAAUCCUUUCAAGGUGUAAGGCUAGCAGAAAGUCUUCAAUCACUGACUAUUACUGAAUGUGCGAAACUCGAAGAACAGUGUCGGAAGGAAGAAGGCAAUGAAUGGUGUAAGAUAAAACACAUUCCUGAAAUCUGGAUUGAGUACCAACAGAUAUCUCGAACAGAAACUAGUGAACGGCCAACAGACACAGUGAAUGAGAAGUAAAAGGGAUCCAAAUUUAGCAAAGGGACCUCUUACAAUUUUGAUGAGUGAUAUUACUUCUACCUCGGGUGAGAGACAUGGCACCAUUGAUCCAAUGAUGUACGAGGAAGCAGGAUCAU